rnacentral:misc_RNA from 1 species
CAACAGCUGAAAGGAGGUGAUCCAGUGUCUAGAGUCACAUUGGAGAGAGGUGUCGGAACAGUUCGGAGGAUUGCGCGCUAGAGCAGCCUCUGGCGCAAGGAAAUCCGAAUUGGUUUUGCCUAACCGGCACGCCUCCUUGACGUCUCGAAUGGGUCGCCCCACAGGCAGGGCGGCCCA